UGAUGAGGUUGAUAGGUCUCGGGUGGAAGCGUGGCGACACGUGGAGCUGAGAGAUACUAAUCGGUCGAGGACUUAUCCUAAA
rnacentral:rRNA from 1 species